CUUUCUGAAUCUUAUCCUCUGCCUCUCUUCCUUCGUCCUCCUUCUCUCAUUCUUUUUCUCCUUCCUUUCCUAAUUGCUUCCUUCCUCCAUGAUUCAUCCCCAUUGACCUUCACUUCCUUUGUUAAGGCAUCCAUGGCUGCCCGCAUACUUCUCUCCCGUAGUGUCGUCCGGGGUGCCUGAGCUCUUGCAUGUUGUAGUUUUUUUUCGCGAGACCAAGCUAAAGCUGCAACCAACAUCGUGCCCUGUUACAACGGGCGUCAUGUUUUUCUACAACCAUGGCCUGGGAGCUUGGUGGAGCAGCAACAUCAGUUGUGGUAUAUUGGUUGUAACAAUUUCAAUCACCGGUGGUAGCAAAUAGGUUAUCACGGGUCGCAGCUGAGAUAAGAAGUUUGAAACUUUUAUCAAUGCGGUUAUAACUUUUGUCUAUUCUAUAUUAUUCGCAGUUUUGGUCUAUUCUGACUAGUUUUGUAUGCUAUUACUCACUGAUUUUGGGUCCCGCUGCAAUCCGAACGUUUCGGGAACCCCGGGGUCCUGUUACAUGGAACUCGUGAAAACUCGCAUUUUUGGCA
rnacentral:lncRNA from 1 species